rnacentral:rRNA from 1 species
CCUACGUGAGGCAGCAGUGAGGAAUAUUGGUCAAUGGGCGCGAGCCUGAACCAGCAAAGUAGCGUGAAGGAUGACUGCCCUACGGGUUGUAAACUUCUUUUAUAAAGGAAUAAAGUGAGGCACGUGUGCCUUUUUGUAUGUACUUUAUGAAUAAGGAUCGGCUAAUUCCGUGCCAGCAGCCGAUGUAAUACGGAGGAUCCGAGCUUUAUACGGAUUUAUUGGGGUUAAAGGGAGCGUAGAUGGGUUGUUAAGUCAGUUGUGAAAGUGUGCGGCGCACCCGUAAAAUUACCAUUGAUACUGGCAGUCUUGAGUACAGUUGAGGUAGGCGGAAUUCGUGGUGUAGCGGUGAAAUGCUUAGAUAUCACGAAGAACUCCGAUUGCGAAGGCAGCCUACUAAACUGCCACUGACAUUGAUGCUCGAAAGUGUAGGUAUCAAACAGGAUUAGAUACCCCAGUAGUC